rnacentral:rRNA from 1 species
GUGAGUAACGCGUGAGGAACCUGCCUCAAAGAGGGGGACAACAGUUGGAAACGACUGCUAAUACCGCAUAAGCCCACGGCUCGGCAUCGAGCAGGGGGAAAAGGAGCAAUCCGCUUUGAGAUGGCCUCGCGUCUGAUUAGCUAGUUGGUGAGGUAACGGCCCACCAAGGCGACGAUCGGUAGCCGGACUGAGAGGUUGAACGGCCACAUUGGGACUGAGACACGGCCCAGACUCCUACGGGAGGCAGCAGUGGGGAAUAUUGCACAAUGGGGGGAACCCUGAUGCAGCGACGCCGCGUGGAGGAAGAAGGUCUUCGGAUUGUAAACUCCUGUUGUUGAGGAAGAUAAUGACGGUACUCAACAAGGAAGUGACGGCUAACUACGUGCCAGCAGCCGCGGUAAAACGUAGGUCACAAGCGUUGUCCGGAAUUACUGGGUGUAAAGGGAGCGCAGGCGGGAGAACAAGUUGGAAGUGAAAUCCAUGGGCUCAACCCAUGAACUGCUUUCAAAACUGUUUUUCUUGAGUAGUGCAGAGGUAGGUGGAAUUCCCGGUGUAGCGGUGGAAUGCGUAGAUAUCGGGAGGAACACCAGUGGCGAAGGCGGCCUACUGGGCACCAACUGACGCUGAGGCUCGAAAGUGUGGGUAGCAAACAGGAUUAGAUACCCUGGUAGUCCACACCGUAAACGAUGAUUACUAGGUGUUGGAGGAUUGACCCCUUCAGUGCCGCAGUUAACACAAUAAGUAAUCCACCUGGGGAGUA